GACGAACGCUGGCGGCGUGCUUAACACAUGCGAGUCGAACGGAAAGGCCCUGCUUUUGUGGGGUGCUCGAGUGGCGAACGGGUGAGUAACACGUGAGUAACCUGCCCUUGACUUUGGGAUAACUUCAGGAAACUGGGGCUAAUACCGGAUAGGAGCUCCUGCUGCAUGGUGGGGGUUGGAAAGUUUCGGCGGUUGGGGAUGGACUCGCGGCUUAUCAGCUUGUUGGUGGGGUAGUGGCUUACCAAGGCUUUGACGGGUAGCCGGCCUGAGAGGGUGACCGGCCACAUUGGGACUGAGAUACGGCCCAGACUCCUACGGGAGGCAGCAGUGGGGAAUAUUGCACAAUGGGCGGAAGCCUGAUGCAGCAACGCCGCGUGCGGGAUGACGGCCUUCGGGUUGUAAACCGCUUUCGCCUGUGGCGAAGCGUGAGUGACGGUAAUGGGUAAAGAAGCACCGGCUAACUACGUG
rnacentral:rRNA from 1 species